UCUGAACAGGAAUAUUUCCACCACCGCCGCCGCCGCCGCCGCCUCCACCUUUCUUGACGUUUCCACCUCCAUUUCCUCCAUUAUUACCACCAGGAGGAGGCCCACCUUUCAUGAGAUGUGGUGGAAGUUGGCCAGGCUUCAUCAGCUGUGGAUUAUUCAUGAGAUGUGGUGGAAGUUGGCCAGCAGGCUUCAUCAGCUGUGGAUUAUUCAUGAGAUGUGGUGGAAGUUGGCCAGACUNNNNNNNNNNNNNNNNNNNNNNNNNNNNNNNNNNNNNNNNNNNNNNNNNNNNNNNNNNNNNNNNNNNNNNNNNNNNNNNNNNNNNNNNNNNNNNNNNNNNCUUUUCUUUCUUGUAAAACAUACAUACAUCUCCCUGUGCCCUGUUACAGAUAGAUAGAUACUCUCUCACUCAUAUAUUUUUAUUUUUAGAAUAACAACCAGCCAAAUUAAUAGUCACUCGUGGGUCCUACUUCACCAGUGGUGGGACCAACUAUUUUCGUUUUUCCCUUAUAAAUCAUGACUUUGUGGGGCCUGCCCAUCAUCAUAUCUAUCCAUCUAUCACACUACCUACUACACAUGCAUGGGGUACGAACCAACGACUGUAAUUUAUUUGUACAUCUAGUAAAUGUCAAACAACAAGACCACAUGACCAGGCCUCGUUUGUGGCAGGCAGGCAGCUAAUUACUAAUAGAAGACUUGUAACAAUUUAUUCUUAAAAAUAAAUUAAUUUAGAAAUUCUAAAUAGAAUAAACUCUCAAAGUACAAAUGAUUUUUUUUUUAAUUUUAAUUAUAUUAAAUUGAUAAAUGAGUAAUUUCUUAUUCACAAACUUCCAAAUAUAGAAAUAGAAGGUUUGAAUGAUGGAAAAGAAGGAAACUUUAGGAGAGAAAUGGGGGGCUUUUUCUUUACAAAACCCCCUUCUCUUUCAUAUUAUUAUUUCUGUUUGCAGCUUUCUUAUAAACUUCUCGCUUAGAAAGAAAAGCCCACCAUCAUCAUCCCCACACUUAAAUUCUCAUUCUCACCCUAAAGCUAAAGCUUUUGAUAUAUAUAUAUAUAUAAUCUACUACUAUAACAUCAUAAGGUACUUCCUAUGAUAAUUAAAAACAAAGAAAAAAAAACUAAAUAUCUUAUAGGAUGAAGAGAAUGAAAAUUUAAAGGGGUAACUAAAGCUAAAGUCAAAAAAUAAAAUAUAAUAAAAACCCAUUUCCAUGUAUAAUAUGGCAUCAUCAUGACUAGCAAGUCAUUUAAAAUUGUAACUGAAGCUUCAAAGCACCACCACCAGAAAAUCAGUAAACUUUAGGGCAUUAAGCGGAACUUUGGGGAUGAAUUCACAUAAUGCUGCAGCUUGAUGUGUUCUCAUCAUUAAAGAAACUGGUGUAUGGGUCCGGGUGUGCCUGCUGGUAUGGGUAGUACGGGUGCGGCGGCAUGUAAUUGACCGCCGGAGGUGGACGGGCGUACAUCAUAGGGUGGAAAUUGUCGUUGCCAUUUGGCCGUUGAUGGUUCAUCAUCAUCGCCGCCAUUUGCUGCUGGUAGUAAGGGUUUCCGGCCAUAGCCUGGGGGCCAGCCCCUUGGAAAUAACCACCAGGACCACCGGCGCUCACGGCCGGAAGGCCUUGGACUGCCGGAAGGUUACCCAUUUGACCCAUCUGGCCCAUGGGCAUGUUACCCAUCUGGCCCAUUUGUCCUAUUGGCAUACUCCCCAAAUGGCCCACACUACUACCACCACCACUCAUGCCCAUCAUGUUAGGCAUAACAUGAACUCCAUCAUCCAUUACAACCUUCUUUCCCCCAUUACCAUUAAUGUUGUUACCACCACCACUAUUCUUGUUCUGAACACCACCUCCACCGCCGUUGUUUUUACCAUCUGCCGGCUUGCCACCACCGUUUUUGGGUGCUCCACCGCCUCCCGGAUUUUGACUCCCGCCACCACCUUUCUUUCCUCCAUUAGCAUUCAUCUGAACAGGAAUAUUUCCACCACCGCCGCCGCCGCCGCCGCCUCCACCUUUCUUGACGUUUCCACCUCCAUUUCCUCCAUUAUUACCACCAGGAGGAGGCCCACCUUUCAUGAGAUGUGGUGGAAGUUGGCCAGGCUUCAUCAGCUGUGGAUUAUUCAUGAGAUGUGGUGGAAGUUGGCCAGCAGGCUUCAUCAGCUGUGGAUUAUUCAUGAGAUGUGGUGGAAGUUGGCCAGACUUCAUCAGCUGUGGAUUCAUCAUCAUAUUUGGAGGCAUCUGACCACCACCC
rnacentral:lncRNA from 1 species